rnacentral:rRNA from 1 species
UUACCAGGUCUUGACAUCCCGAUGCUAUUUCUAGAGAUAGAAAGUUACUUCGGUACAUCGGUGACAGGUGGUGCAUGGUUGUCGUCAGCUCGUGUCGUGAGAUGUUGGGUUAAGUCCCGCAACGAGCGCAACCCCUAUUGUUAGUUGCCAUCAUUCAGUUGGGCACUCUAGCGAGACUGCCGGUAAUAAACCGGAGGAAGGUGGGGAUGACGUCAAAUCAUCAUGCCCCUUAUGACCUGGGCUACACACGUGCUACAAUGGUUGGUACAACGAGUUGCGAGUCGGUGACGGCGAGCUAAUCUCUUAAAGCCAAUCUCAGCUCGGAUUGCAGGCUGCAAUUCGCCUGCAUGAAGUCGGAAUCGCUAGUAAUCGCAGGUCAGCAUACUGCGGUGAAUACGUUCCCGGGCCUU